rfam:Nematostella vectensis strain CH2 x CH6 NEMVEscaffold_1762_Cont38548, whole genome shotgun sequence.
CGUCGAUGAUGAAGCUUGUUAGACCUGACAUAUGAUGGAGGUUCUAAUCUGAUUUAAUGAGCCUGAGAC